rnacentral:rRNA from 1 species
AACGAACGCUGGCGGCAUGCCUAACACAUGCAAGUCGAACGAGACCUUCGGGUCUAGUGGCGCACGGGUGCGUAACGCGUGGGAACCUGCCCUUAGGUUCGGAAUAACUCCCCGAAAGGGGUGCUAAUACCGGAUAAUGUCUUCGGACCAAAGAUUUAUCGCCCUUGGAUGGGCCCGAGUUGGAUUAGCUAGUUGGUAGGGUAAAAGCCUACCAAGGCGACGAUCCAUAGCUGGUCUGAGAGGAUGAUCAGCCACACUGGGACUGAGACACGGCCCAGACUCCUACGGGAAGCAGCAGUGGGGAAUAUUGGACAAUGGGCGAAAGCCUGAUCCAGCAAUGCCGCGUGAGUGAUGAAGGCCUUAGGGUUGUAAAGCUCUUUUACCCGGGAUGAUAAUGACAGUACCGGGAGAAUAAGCUCCGGCUAACUCCGUG